rnacentral:rRNA from 1 species
ACUCAAAUGAAUAGACGGGGGCCCGCACAAGCGGUGGAGCAUGUGGUUUAAUUCGAUGCAACGCGAAGAACCUUACCUGGGUUUGACAUCCACUGACCGCUGUAGAGAUACAGUUUUUCCUUCGGGAACAGUGAGACAGGUGCUGCAUGGCUGUCGUCAGCUCGUAUCGUGAGAUGUCGGGUUAAGUCCCUUAACGAGCGCAACCCUUAUCCUUAGUUGCCACCAUUUAGUUGGGCACUCUAGGGAGACCGCCGGUGUUAAACCGGAGGAAGGUGGGGAUGACGUCAAGUCCUCAUGGCCUUUAUAUCCAGGGCUACACACGUGCUACAAUGGCCGGUACAGAGGGAAGCCAAAGCGUGAGCUGGAGCUAAUCUCAGAAAACCGGUCUCAGUUCGGAUUGAAGUCUGCAACUCGACUUCAUGAAGCUGGAAUCGCUAGUAAUCGCGGAUCAGAACGCCGCGGUGAAUACGUUCCCGGGCCUUGCACACACCGCCCGU